rnacentral:rRNA from 1 species
AGAGUUUGAUCCUGGCUCAGGAUGAACGCUGGCGGCGUGCCUAAUACAUGCAAGUCGAACGCACAGCGAAAGGUGCUUGCACCUUUCAAGUGAGUGGCGAACGGGUGAGUAACACGUGGAUAACCUACCUCAAGGUUGGGGAUAACAUUUGGAAACAGAUGCUAAUACCCAAUAAAACUUCGUAUCGCAUGAUACAAGGUUAAAAGGCGCUACGGCGUCACCUAGAGAUGGAUCCGCGGUGCAUUAGUUAGUUGGUGGGGUAAAGGCCUACCAAGACAAUGAUGCAUAGCCGAGUUGAGAGACUGAUCGGCCACAUUGGGACUGAGACACGGCCCAAACUCCUACGGGAGGCUGCAGUAGGGAAUCUUCCACAAUGGGCGAAAGCCUGAUGGAGCAACGCCGCGUGUGUGAUGAAGGCUUUCGGGUCGUAAAGCACUGUUGUAUGGGAAGAACAGCUAGAGUAGGGAAUGACUUUAGUUUGACGGUACCAUACCAGAAAGGGACGGCUAAAUACGUGCCAGCAGCCGCGGUAAUACGUAUGUCCCGAGCGUUAUCCGGAUUUAUUGGGCGUAAAGCGAGCGCAGACGGUUGAUUAAGUCUGAUGUGAAAGCCCGGAGCUCAACUCCGGAAAGGCAUUGGAAACUGGUCAACUUGAGUGCAGUAGAGGUAAGUGGAGCUCCAUGUGUAGCGGUGGAAUGCGUAGAUAUAUGGAAGAACACCAGCGGCGAAGGCGGCUUACUGGACUGUAACUGACGUUGAGGCUCGAAAGUGUGGGUAGCAAACAGGAUUAGAUACCCUGGUAGUCCACACCGUAAACGAUGAA